rnacentral:rRNA from 1 species
UGCCAGCCGCCGCGGUAAUACGAAGGGGGCGAACGUUAUUCGGAAUUACUGGGCGUAAAGGGUGCGUAGGCGGCCCAUCAAGGUUAGACGUGAAAGCCCCGGGCUCAACCUGGGAAUUGCGUUUAAUACUGGUGAGCUAGAGUACGAGAGAGGAAAGUGGAAUUCCUAGUGUAGAGGUGAAAUUCGUAGAUAUUAGGAAGAACACCAGUGGCGAAGGCGACUUUCUGGCUCGUAACUGACGCUGAGGCACGAAAACGUUGGGAGCAAACAGGAUUAGAUA